rnacentral:rRNA from 1 species
UACAGAGGGUGCGAGCGUUGUUCGGAAUUAUUGGGCGUAAAGCGCUUGUAGGCGGCUUGUUAAGUUCCGUGUGAAAUCCCCAGGCUUAACCUGGGAAGUGCGCGGAAAACUGGCGAGCUUGAGUGCCGGAGAGGGUCGCGGAAUUCCCGGUGUAGAGGUGAAAUUCGUAGAUAUCUGGAGGAACACCGGUGGCGAAGGCGGCAUCCUGGACCGACACUGACGCUGAGGAGCGAAAGCCAGGGGAGCAACGGG